rnacentral:rRNA from 1 species
GGGAGCAGAGUGACAGGUGGUGCAUGGUUGUCGUCAGCUCGUGUCGUGAGAUGUUGGGUUAAGUCCCGCAACGAGCGCAACCCUUGAUCUUAGUUGCCAUCAUUUAGUUGGGCACUCUAAGGUGACUGCCGGUGACAAACCGGAGGAAGGUGGGGAUGACGUCAAAUCAUCAUGCCCCUUAUGACCUGGGCUACACACGUGCUACAAUGGACGGUACAAAGAGCUGCAAGACCGCGAGGUGGAGCUAAUCUCAUAAAACCGUUCUCAGUUCGGAUUGUAGGCUGCAACUCGCCUACAUGAAGCUGGAAUCGCUAGUAAUCGCGGAUCAGCAUGCCGCGGUGAAUACGUUCCCGGGCCUUGUACACACCGCCCGUCACACCACGAGAGUUUGUAACACCCGAAGUCGGUGGGGUAACCUUUUUGGAGCCAGCCGCCUAAGGUGGGACAGAUGAUUGGGGUGAAGUCGUAACAAGGUAGCCGUAUCGGAAGGUGCGGCUGGAUCACCUCCUUUCUAUGGA